GCUUCCCUAGCUCAGUUGGUUAGAGUACCAGUCUCAUAGGUAAUGAGGAAUCAGUGGAUUCUGUAAUCUGGGGGUCGUGAGUUCGAUCCUCACGGGGAGCA